rnacentral:rRNA from 1 species
CCUACGGGAGGCUGCAGUGAGGAAUAUUGGUCAAUGGGCGCGAGCCUGAACCAGCCAAGUAGCGUGAAGGAUGACUGCCCUACGGGUUGUAAACUUCUUUUAUAAAGGAAUAAAGUGAGGCACGAGUGCCUGUUUGUAUGUACUUUAUGAAUAAGGAUCGGCUAACUCCGUGCCAGCAGCCGCGUUAAUACGGAGGAUCCGAGCGUUAUCCGGAUUUAUUGGGGUUAAAGGGAGCGUAGAUGGGUUGUUAAGUCAGUUGUGAAAGUUUGCGGCUCAACCGUAAAAUUGCAAUUGAGACUGGCAGUCUUGAGUACAGUUGAGGUAGGCGGAAUUCGUGGUGUAGCGGUGAAAUGCUUAGAUAUCACGAAGAACACCGAUGGCGAAGGCAGCUUACUAAACUGCAACUGACAUUGAUGCUCGAAAGUGUGGGUAGCAAACAGGAUUAGAUACCCUAGUAGUC